AGCGUCGUAGCACAGCUGGGAGUGCGCCGGUCUCAUAUACACAACUUGUGGACAGUGAGCAAUCCGGAGGUCGCUUGAUCGAAACAAGCCGGUGCUA